rnacentral:rRNA from 1 species
UACGGAGGGUGCGAGCGUUGUCCGGAAUCACUGGGCGUAAAGGGCGCGUAGGCGGCAUGCCAAGCGUGUGGUGAAAGCCCGGGGCUCAACCCCGGGUCGGCCGUGCGGACUGGCGUGCUCGAGCACUGUAGGGGCGGGUGGAAUUCCGGGUGUAGCGGUGGAAUGCGUAGAGAUCCGGAAGAACACCGGUGGCGAAGGCGGCCCGCUGGGCAGGAAGACACCCAAGGUGUCGGCUGACGCUGAGGCGCGACAGCGUGGGGAGCAAACAGG